CAGCAGCCGCGGGAAUACGUAGGGUGCAAGCGUUAAUCGGAAUUACUGGGCGUAAAGCGUGCGCAGGCGGUUAUAUAAGACAGAUGUGAAAUCCCCGGGCUCAACCUGGGAACUGCAUUUGUGACUGUAUAGCUAGAGUACGGCAGAGGGGGAUGGAAUUCCGCGUGUAGCAGUGAAAUGCGUAGAUAUGCGGAGGAACACCGAUGGCGAAGGCAAUCCCCUGGGCCUGUACUGACGCUCAUGCACGAAAGCGUGGGGAGCAAACAGGAUUAGAUACCCGCGUAGUCCCUGUCUCUUAUAC
rnacentral:rRNA from 1 species